UGGGGAAUUUUUGACAAUGGGGGAAACCCUGAUCCAGCCAUCCCGCGUGUGCGAUGAAGGCCUUCGGGUUGUAAAGCACUUUUGGCAGGAAAGAAACGUCAUGGGUUAAUACCCCGUGAAACUGACGGUACCUGCAGAAUAAGCACCGGCUAACUACGUGCCAGCAGCCGCGGUAAUACGUAGGGUGCAAGCGUUAAUCGGAAUUACUGGGCGUAAAGCGUGCGCAGGCGGUUCGGAAAGAAAGAUGUGAAAUCCCAGAGCUCAACUUUGGAACUGCAUUUUUAACUACCGGGCUAGAGUGUGUCAGAGGGAGGUGGAAUUCCGCGUGUAGCAGUGAAAUGCGUAGAUAUGCGGAGGAACACCGAUGGCGAAGGCAGCCUCCUGGGAUAACACUGACGCUCAUGCACGAAAGCGUGGGGAGCAAACAGG
rnacentral:rRNA from 1 species